UACGUAGGGGGCAAGCGUUAUCCGGAAUUACUGGGUGUAAAGGGAGCGUAGACGGUAAUGUAAGUCUGGAGUGAAAGGCGGGGGCCCAACCCCCGGACUGCUCUGGAAACUAUGUUACUAGAGUGCAGGAGAGGUAAGCGGAAUUCCUAGUGUAGCGGUGAAAUGCGUAGAUAUUAGGAGGAACACCAGUGGCGAAGGCGGCUUACUGGACUGUAACUGACGUUGAGGCUCGAAAGCGUGGGGAGCAAAUAGG
rnacentral:rRNA from 1 species